GACGAACGCUGGCGGCGUGCUUAACACAUGCAAGUCGAACGGAAAGGCCCUGCUUUUGUGGGGUGCUCGAGUGGCGAACGGGUGAGUAACACGUGAGUAACCUGCCCUUGACUUUGGGAUAACUUCAGGAAACUGGGGCUAAUACCGGAUAGGAGCUCCUGCUGCAUGGUGGGGGUUGGAAAGUUUCGGCGGUUGGGGAUGGACUCGCGGCUUAUCAGCUUGUUGGUGGGGUAGUGGCUUACCAAGGCUUUGACGGGUAGCCGGCCUGAGAGGGUGACCGGCCACAUUGGGACUGAGAUACGGCGCAGAAUCCUACGGGAGGCAGCAGUGGGAAAUAUUGCACAAUGGGCGGAAGCCUGAUGCAGCAACGCCGCGUGCGGGAUGACGGCCUUCGGGUUGUAAACCGCUUUCGCCUGUGACGAAGCGUGAGUGACGGUAAUGGGUAAAGAAGCACCGGCUAACUACGUG
rnacentral:rRNA from 1 species